GGACCCGCACAAGUAGUGGAGCAUGUGGUUUAAUUCGAUGCAACGCGAAGAACCUUACCAAGGCUUGACAUAUAGAGGAAAAGUGCAGAAAUGCACUCCCCGCAAGGUCUCUAUACAGGUGGUGCAUGGUUGUCGUCAGCUCGUGUCGUGAGAUGUUGGGUUAAGUCCCGCAACGAGCGCAACCCUCGUCCUAUGUUGCCAGCACGUAAUGGUGGGAACUCAUGGGGAUACUGCCGGGGUCAACUCGGAGGAAGGUGGGGAUGACGUCAAAUCAUCAUGCCCCUUAUGUCUUGGCUUCACGCAUGCUACAAUGGCCGGUACAGAGGCUGCAAUACCGCAAGGUGGAGCGAA
rnacentral:rRNA from 1 species